CAGUCGCCACGGGAAUACGAAGGGUGCAAGCGUUAAUCGGAAUUACUGGGCGUAAAGCGUGCGUAGGCGGUGAGUUAAGUCUGCUGUGAAAUCCCCGGGCUCAACCUGGGAAUGGCAGUGGAUACUGGCUCGCUAGAGUGUGUCAGAGGAUGGUGGAAUUCCCGGUGUAGCGGUGAAAUGCGUAGAGAUCGGGAGGAACAUCAGUGGCGAAGGCGGCCAUCUGGGACAACACUGACGCUGAGGCACGAAAGCGUGGGGAGCAAACAGGAUUAGAUACCCCCGUAGUCCCUGUCUCUUUACA
rnacentral:rRNA from 1 species